UACAGAGGGGGCAAGCGUUGUUCGGAAUUACUGGGCGUAAAGGGCGCGUAGGCGGCCUUCUAAGUCGAACGUGAAAUCCCCGGGCUCAACCCGGGAACUGCGUCCGAUACUGGAAGGCUUGAAUCCGGGAGAGGGAUGCGGAAUUCCAGGUGUAGCGGUGAAAUGCGUAGAUAUCUGGAGGAACACCGGUGGCGAAGGCGCAUCCUGGACCGGGCAUUGACGCGUGAGGCGCGAAAGCCAGGGGAGCAAAGCGGGAU
rnacentral:rRNA from 1 species